GACGAACGCUGGCGGCGUGCUUAACACAUGCAAGUCGAACGGGUCUGCCCUGUUUUUUGCGGGGUGGGUCAGUGGCGAACGGGUGAGUAACACGUGAGUAACCUGCCCCUCACUUCUGGAUAACCGCUUGAAAGGGUGGCUAAUACGGGGUGUUCUGGCUGUGCCGCAUGGUGUGGCUGGGAAAGAUUCACUUUUGUGGUGUUUUGGUGGGGGAUGGGCUCGCGGCCUAUCAGCUUGUUGGUGGGGUGAUGGCCUGCCAAGGCUUUGACGGGUAGCCGGCCUGGGAGGGUGGGCGGUCACACUGGGACUGAGAUACGGCCCAGACUCCUGCGGGAGGCAGCAGGGGGGGGUAUUGCACAAUGGGCGGAAGCCUGAUGCAGCGACGUCGCGUGAGGGAUGGAGGCCUUCGGGUUGUGAACCUCUUUCGCCGGUGAAGAAGGUCCUGCUCUUUGUGGUGGGGUUGACGGUAGCCGGGUUAUGAAGCGCCGGCUAACUACGUG
rnacentral:rRNA from 1 species